UAAAAGAACAGCAAGUGCAAGGCCACACAUUCCAUUUAGUCUUGCGGAUUAGCCAGGCUGUCAAAAGAAAGGAAGGGAAAUCAACAGUUAGAAGACAAGAUCUACAAAGAGAAGAAAUAUAUACAGCGAAACUGCUCACAAGCUGCAAAUGCUUUCUGUAUUUUCUAAUGCAACUGAAAUGAGCUGGAGAAUUCUACCAGUCACCAGCCUGUGAGAAAAUCAGUGCAACUACCGUUCUAUUGAUGAAAAACUGAUGCCUACAGCAAUGAUCCGCUGAAGUGGCCGCAUAUGGCCCUGAUGCUUAUGUAAGACACAUUUCACUAUAAAAGAAAGUCUCUGAACAUCUCUGAGCAUUACCAGGCAAAAAGAUGUGCAUCAAGCUGAACCUCAAGGAAAGUUCUGGAAAAUUGGUUCUAGGCACAUCUUUCAUCUGAUUAUUAUAUUUAAGCCUGCAAGAGAAUUAUACUGAAACCUACAAGGAAGCAAUACAGGUCUGCAUUAAUACUUGGACAUAUCCAGCUUUUUAUCCUUCCAAUGAUCUUAUGAAUUGGAUCACUCUUUCCUCAAAUUUACAAAAGAAGAAAUGAAACUAGACGACAGUCCCAAUGGAAGCAAAAACUAGAAAA